CACUAAGCAAGGUUUUCUUUUUUGGGGAUCUCAUCUUUGUGAAGCUUUCUCCUGCAAACCUAGACUCUUUUGAUACAGGGUGGUGAAGUCCAGAGAGCUUCUUAAGAUGACUACAUAGGAUGAGAAGAACUAUUGACUAUUUACAGACAUUUGAUUAGGUUCUUCAGGUAUCAACUUCUGGGCCUAUAGGUGGUUUUCUACCAGGUGUUUGUGCAGCACAUCAUACUAUGUUUUCUGAGCUCCAUGCUGCUGUUUUUUUCCACUAUUCUAGUGAAGAUUUGCUGCAUUUGAGAUUGUUGUUAGGGGCAUGGUGUAUUGUUUUAUUUUUUACUUCUAUUUUAUUGGACAUUAAAAUGUACCUCUGAUUUUGAG
ensembl:lncRNA